GAGGUUAUAGCUCAGUGGUAGAGUGUGUGCUUAGCAUGCAUGAGGCCCUGGGUUCAAUCCCAAGUACCUCCA
rnacentral:tRNA from 1 species